rnacentral:rRNA from 1 species
GCAGUCGAACGAGACCUUCGGGUCUAGUGGCGCACGGGUGAGUAACGCGUGGAAACCUGCCAUUCUGUACGGAAUAACGAUUGGAAACGAUCGCUAAUACCGUAUACGCCCUGUGGGGGAAAGGUCCGCCGCAGAAUGAGGGGUCCGCGUCCGAUUAGCUUGUUGGUGGGGUAAAAGCCUACCAAGGCGAUGAUCGGUAGCUGGUCUGAGAGGAUGAUCAGCCACACUGGGACUGAGACACGGCCCAGACUCCUACGGGAGGCAGCAGUGGGGAAUAUUGGACAAUGGGGGCAACCCUGAUCCAGCAAUGCCGCGUGUGUGAAGAAGGCCUUAGGGUUGUAAAGCACUUUCAAUGGUGAAGAUGAUGACGGUAGCCGUAAAAGAAGCCCCGGCUAACUUCGUGCCAGCAGCCGCGGUAAUACGAAGGGGGCGAGCGUUGUUCGGAAUUACUGGGCGUAAAGGGCGCGCAGGCGGCCAAUCCAGUCAGGUGUGAAAGCCCCGGGCUUAACCUGGGAACUGCACUUGAUACUGAUUGGCUAGAAAAACGGAAGAGGGCAGUGGAAUUCCCAG